rnacentral:rRNA from 1 species
UGGGGAAUAUUGCACAAUGGGCGCAAGCCUGAUGCAGCCAUGCCGCGUGUGUGAAGAAGGCCUUCGGGUUGUAAAGCACUUUCAGCGAGGAGGAAGGUGGUGAGCUUAAUACGCUCAUCAAUUGACGUUACUCGCAGAAGAAGCACCGGCUAACUCCGUGCCAGCAGCCGCGGUAAUACGGAGGGUGCAAGCGUUAAUCGGAAUUACUGGGCGUAAAGCGCACGCAGGCGGUUUGUUAAGUCAGAUGUGAAAUCCCCGGGCUCAACCUGGGAACUGCAUUUGAAACUGGCAAGCUAGAGUCUCGUAGAGGGGGGUAGAAUUCCAGGUGUAGCGGUGAAAUGCGUAGAGAUCUGGAGGAAUACCGGUGGCGAAGGCGGCCCCCCUGGACGAAGACUGACGCUCAGGUGCGAAAGCGUGGGGAGCAAAACAGGAUUAGAUACCCUGGUAGUCCACGCUGUAAACGAUGUCGAUUUGGAGGUUGUGCCCUUGAGGCGUGGCUUCCGGAGCUAACGCGUUAAAUCGACCGCCU